GCUGACUCCAAUUCAACGCUUUUUUCCGUGCGCUAGGGUUUGCCCAUCCUUCGGCUCCUCCUGUAACAGCAUCUCACCCCGCGGUCGCCGUGGCGGCGAUGGAUCUUGCGGUGGACGGGAGGUGCGCGCUGCUGUUCGGGAGCGAGGUGGCUCUAGAAGUAUAGAUAGUCUUGUUUAAAAUAUCUUGGAAAGUUGUGAUUCUCAAAGACAAUUGGGCUUUUCUAUCUCAAGUUUGAUAGGGCAACAUGACCUUGAUGGAAUGCUUCUACAUGAGGGGUUAAAUUGUGCUCAAACAAGAUAGACAUUGGUAUCUCUCAAUCAUAGUCCCAUAACCUCUUUUAAUUUUGUUUUUAAGAUGUGACUUACAUUGUGUUUUGUACCUUUAUGUCGUGGCUGAGGUGUCGGCAUGGUUGGGUCCGUCCCGAGUGUGCAAGAUCACCAGCACGGCCUCUGAGCUGGAGCGCGUUAACCCGAGGUUUGGUUGAGUGGGCGUAGACCUUGUUCUCUUAGGUGGAGGCUGAAGGUCACUCAUUUAGUUGUCCGUUGGGUGCCUGCACACAGGUCAUAAUCGGGAGGGAGAUUUCCGACCCGACCCCUUCGCUGCUUAAGCUAGCAAGAGUUGGAGAUGAGAGAGUUGGAGUGUGUGUGUGUAUAUCUGAGGUCCGACCCCAAUGCUAUUCUUGGGGGUGGCUUUAAUACCUGUUGUCGUGUGUUGACGUACGUAGCUGUUAAUGGUCAUCAACGUCUUCAUACAUAGGUGUUUAAAGAUGUCGUCGCCAUGGGUGGUUAGCUUGUAUGUUGGGACAUGGGUGCAAUUUGAUGUCUGGCCUUGCUUCAUUUGGUGUUGCUCUGGAGUAGCUCAAGAUGGGGCUACGUUGCUUCGUACAGCCUUGAGCGGUGUUGGUGCAAUGUGCUAGCAACGUAGAUGACAAGCGGCUGCCUCAUUCAGAUCAGGGAUGUUGAGUUGGCUCAGUGCGCCAUGUUGGCUUUGGAACGUUGUGCCAGGUCCGUGUUUGUGGAGUUGAUGCUAGAAUAUGCUAUAAUCACAUUGUAUUAGAUUUAACUAUUUGAGCGUAAUUUGAUCUUGGAAUUUUACUCGUA